GCCGCACAGAAUAGAAAGAAAAGAGAAAAGCUAAAGGAAAAUGUCUUUUCUAUGGGACUGGUUUACUGGAGCUCUGGGCUAUCUCGGUCUGUGGAAAGUCCAAGCAAAGCUUGUCUUCUUGGGUCUGGAUAAUGCCGGGAAGACAACCCUCCUUCACAUGCUUAAGGAUGACAGAAUGGGACAACCUGUACCAACCUAUUACCCCA